GGGGGCGAUAGGUCUCGACGGCAGGAUGGAGGGUUCCGGGUAGCGUGCCGAGUUGCCGAAACUCGUUAAUAACCGGCACAAACAAUAAUUGCCAACGAUAAUUACGCACUGGCCGCUUAAGUAGCGACCCGUUCCUCGGGGUUUCCGUCGCCAGGAUCCCGAUGUGAACGUCACAAAUGGUGGCUGCUCCUUGCGCUUCGCUUUCGCGCGUGAGGCUAAGACUUAGAGAGCUCGGGCAAGGGUAUCCCGUCUCCGGGAGACCCGAGCCGACACUAAAUCGGAGACUGCGCACGGAGAAACCCGCAGCUGGCCCCUGUCGGACCGGGGUUCGAUUCCCCGCGCCUCCACCA
rnacentral:tmRNA from 1 species